rnacentral:tRNA from 5 species
GCGCCAAUAGCUCAGUUGGAUAGAGCAACAGCCUUCUAAGCUGUGGGUCAGAGGUUCGAAUCCUCUUUGGCGUA